AACAGAGUGGAUGCUAGGGUUGUGAAAAAGUUUAAAAGACAGAGACAACACUUGAAGAGCCGUUCCUCUGAGAGAGACUGAAAAUGGAUGGAGUGUGUUUAACCCAGAGAAAGAGAAUGAGCACACUGGAGAGGCAAGACACGGAAAGAGUCCACGACGAGCAGUGUCUUUUGGGUGUUGCUAACCAGACUAGGUGGAUCCAAGCAGCAAUUGCAGCCCAGCCCUUGGUACCCAGCACAGAGGAACCAGGGAGCAUCCCUGCACGCCUAGAGCUGCAGGAGCACUUCACCAGAGUCAGGGCCCAACCUGGAACAAAUGGGAGCUUUAGGAAUGAACUUUUAGUUCAAGGUUAACCAGAGAGACUGCAGCUGGGCAAUGCAAGUGGUUCUAUUUUGUAAUCAAAAGGUGUUUUUUUUGUGUGUGGUUACCUGACUUAGUUACUAAAUGGCUUGCAUGAAAUAACAUGCAGUAUUUUGCAGUUGCUGUGCAAUUAGCUUAUAUCAUCACCAUGCAGUCAAAAUAUAAAGAGAAAAUACAGGAAGAAACUAUUAACAGCAAUUUGUAACAAAGAUGUCUGGAAUAAGAACACAAUGCUUGUUACCACUGGCUCUUAUGUUAAUCACCUAAUUGCAAAUUGGCUUUCAUUAAUGCGUGGAUACCACUGAAAUAAUCUUAUACCUUCUCUAUUGUGAUAUCCUGCUAUUUACAUUUAUAUAGAACAUGCCUGUACAUACAGGUUUGUUUUUUUUCUUUCCACAGGCAUUUAAUGGCUCUAUUUAUUCCUUUCUGUUUGGAGGCAGAGAAACCACGUUAGUGAACCAUGGGGCUAUAUUCUGAACCCGUAGCUCAUAGAUGGAAUAGAAUAUAAAAACGGAAGCAUUCUUGAAAGCAAUGUAUAAAUCUUUAUUCACAGAAAUGCCUCCCACAAAGUCCAAAGUUUUGGAGAGAAGAUGUAUAUUUGCUGCCUUUGAAUAUUGCUCUUACCACGGUCCAUCUUGGCACUGUGACCUUCUCACCUUAAAGAGUGUCAGGCUUAACGCCACCCUUUGCUUGCUACAUUUCAAAGGUGACGGUCAUCUUCCAUUCAUGAAAAAGAACAAUAACCACACAGCAUUUGUGGCACUUGAUAGUGUAUAAAACCAAGAGAAUAGUCUGCGUGAUCCUCCCUGGGCCCUAGGUGUGUAUCAUUCCAGAUACUCCCAUGGGACACACAGUACCAGCGCCUGAGUAAGUAAGGCUUAAGUGACCCAGUUUUGAGUAAGGGAGUUAUUACAGUGUUUUACCAAAGGCACAGGACAGACACACGAAUGGGGCCGGGCAGGUAGUCUCUUCCUUUCCCUCCUCUAAUGCAAACCUAUUCAUUAUAGAAAAGCAUGUAGUGACAAAGUGUAAAGAAGAAAACAAAAACGACCCUUUCCCUCACCCUGAAAUAAUUGACAUCAAUACUUUGCAAUUUUUUUUAAUCCAUGCUUUUUCAAGAUUUUUUAUUUAUAUCUUUUGAUACUUCUGGAUAUAUUUAUUAUUUCAUUAUCUAAAAUUGAAUGUAUAUAUUCAUCAGCAGAAAACGUUCCAAGCCUAUAAAUAGGACUAGUUUUUUAAAAGUCAAAUUUUAGGUCAAUAUAGCAUAUGGAUUACAGAUGAUCUUUUUGUGAACUAUUGGAAAGAAAAUUGCCUGUCUAUUCCAUUUGUUGCAUAAUAUAGUACCAUUAUAGCUCUCUGAUUUUUAUGUUAUUUAUUUAUUUUU